UGACUGGGUCGGCCAAAUGGU
rnacentral:siRNA from 1 species